rnacentral:rRNA from 1 species
UCCCGUUGAUCCUGCGGGAGAUUGCUGCUAUUGGGAAUCGAUUAAGCCAUGCAAGUUCGCUCUCUUCGGGGAGCAGCAGACUGCUUAGUAACACGUCAAUAAUCUAACCUUAGAUUUAGUAUAACCUUGGGAAACUGAGGCUAACACUGGAUAGGGAAAAUAGACUGGAAUGUCUUUUUCCUCAAAGGCAACGUCUAAGGAUGAGUUGGCGGCGGAUUAGGUUGUUGGUGAAGUAACGGCUCACCAAGCCGAAGAUCCGUAGGGGCCCUGAGAGGGGUAUCCCCAAGAAGGACACUGAGACACUGGUCCUAGCCCUACGGGGUGCAGCAGGCGCGAAACCUUUACACUGCACGAAAGUGUGAUAAGGGAAUCCCAAGUGCUGAUGUUUUACAUUGGCUUUUGCUAAGAGUAAAGACCUUAGCGAAUAAGUGGUGGGCAAGACUGGUGCCAGCCGCCGCGGUAACCCCAGCGCCACAAGUGGCAAUCAUCAUUAUUUGGCCUAAAGUGUCCGUAGCCGGUUUGAUAAAUCUUUUGUGAAAUCGUUGGGCUUAACUCAACGACGUGCAGAAGACACUGUCAGACUUGGGACUAGGAGGAGUUGGAAGUAUUUCUGGGGGAGCGGUAAAAUGUUAUAAUCCCGGAAGGACUACCUGUGUGAAGACGUCCAACUAGAAUAGUUCCGACGGUGAGGGACGAAAGCUAGGGGAGCGAUCCGGAUUAGAUACCCGAGUAGUCCUAGCUGUAAACUCUGCGAGCUAGGUGUUACACAUUCCUCGUGGAUGUGUAGUGUCGAAGCGAAGGUGUUAAGCUCGCCGCCUGGGAAGUAUGGUCGCAAGGCUGAAACUUAAAGGAAUUGGCGGGGGAGCACUACAAGGGGUGCGGCGUGCGGUUUAAUCUAAUUCAACACAGAGAAUCUCACCAGAAGCGACGGCAGGAUGAAAGUCAGGUUGAAGGCCUUACUUAACAAGCCGAGAGGUAGUGCAUGGCCGUCGUCAGCUCGUGCCGUAAGGUGUCCUGUUAAGUCAGGCAACGAGCGAGACCUGUACCUACAAUUGCUAGCGAAUUUUGAUCGAGCACAUUGUGGGGACUGCUCCGGAAACGGAGAGGAAGGUGCAGGCUACGGUAGGUCUGUAUGCUCCGAAUCUUCUGGGCUACACGCGCGCAACAAUGGUAAGGACAAUGGGCUACAACUCCGAAAGGAGAAGUUAAUCCUCUAAACCUUAUCUUAGUUCAGAUCGAGGUCUGAAACUCGACCUCGUGACGCUGGAAUCCCUAGUAAUCAGACGUCAUCAGCGUCCGGUGAAUAUGUCCCUGCUCCUUGCACACACCGCCCGUCAAACCACCCGAGCAGUGUUUAGAUGAGACCUAAUUUUCAAUUAAUUCGAAUCUAAGCUCAGCGAGGAGGGUUAAUUCGUCACAAGGUA